GGAGCCUUCUUGCUGGGUCAUGACAUGGUGGAAGACAUCUCACGGUGACAUAGUGCAAACCAGGGAGAACUUGAUUUUGUAACGAAGCCAUUCCCAUAAUAACUCAGUAAUCCGUUAAUCUGUUGAUCACAAAUGAAUCAAUCCAUUCAUAAGGACAGAGCCCUUAUGACCUAAUCACCUCUUAAAGGUCCCAGCUAGUCCCACACCUUAACACUUCACAAUAGAGAUUCAACAUGAGUUGUGCGGGGGAUAUGCAGAUCGUGACAGUGCCCUUAUAAAACAGGCCCCAGAAAACGACCUUGCCCCUUCCACCACAAAAGUGCCAUCUAUGGACAAAUAUGUAGGCAAUCACCAGACACCAAAUAUGCUCAAACCUUGAUCUUGGACUUUCCAGCUUCCAGACAAUGAGAGAUAUAUUUCAGCUAUUUAUAAGGAUUUUGUUAGAGUCUGAACAGACUAAGAUAGGUGCCCAGGAGAAGCAACAAUGAGACCAUGUUGGUGGAGCACAGUCCCUCUUCGAAUAGUCACAGCCAAAUAAAGAAACAACUUCUUCUGAGCAAGAGCGAGUAGACACAGCCAUCAAGAGCAUGCCCUUCCGCAUGCUUCAGACGGAAGAUUGCUGUGGUUCGGAUGUGAUUUGUCCCUUGAAGGUUCAUGUGCUGGAAGCUGGUCCUCAAGAGGGCAACAUAGACUGCGGGACCUCCGUCACAGCACCGCCCCCCCGCCCCGACGCAGCACCAUUGUCAGCCACGCGGUGGCGCCAAGACACAGACUGUCAGGUUUUCCGCAGACUUUGGGGAGCAGAGAUGACAGGAGAGAUGCGGAGGAGACUCUCCUGUAGGACCCUUGGAAGGAAACAAGACGCCAGGUCUAGCGUUUGGGGAUCCUCUGGACAAGGCCACAGAGGGACAAAGCCAGGUGAGGACCUCACUGCCCUCAGGCCCUCCUCCCUUAAGCACCUGGAUUUAGCCUUUUUCUCCCUGCUCUCCGUCUGGAACCAGAUUCAGAUCCCAAGAAAGCUCAGCCCUCUCAUUAAAUUGAAAGGGAAACUGAGGCUCAGAGAAGAGUAGUGAUUGACCAGGAUCACAGAGCCAGUUCCUAGAAAAGCAUAUGCCAGAACCCAGGGAGCUUCCUGGCCAGAAGUCAGCCUCCUGUUCCCUGAUGCUGAGGUAGCUGGUACAGAGUGUCCACCUCUGGCCCCUGCCCAGCACCCAGGCAAGGGGCCAGAUGGCUCGGCUCUGGACCAGCUGCUUCUUCUGCAGUGCAGUCCAGACCUAGGUGGGCUUUCUGGAUCAAUGGUUACUCCAGACAAGCUUCUGGAUCCCCUGGACUCCACCACCACCAACCACAUUGCAGCUUACAAACAUCGACUUUCAUCGAAGGCUUCCUGCAGCCCUCAGCUCUCUGGAACUUUCUGGAAUCAAACUUUUCCAGGCUGCCUACAAGUGUCAGUUGGCUUCUGGAUGGACAUGUGGCUGCCAGGCUCUGGUGGGGGCCCCCAUAGCAAUUUGGAUUCAGCCCUUGGAAAUCCUGCCCAGCCCUGAUGGCCCCUGCACUCCCCUCCAGCACCCACCCACGGAGAACCAUGGAGACCAGGAUGCUAAGGAGCAGAGCAGUUCCAGAUAUCUCUGAGCACCCAUUCUGGACUGGGCUGGGGGCCCAGAGCUGGACCUCAUCAAGACCAGCACUUGUGGGCUCCGAGUCUAGUGAAGGAGAGAAGUUUGUAUUCUGGGGAAGUUAGUCCUGAGCUCUGAAUGGUGCUUCCAGGGAACAUGGUUUACCAAAGCCAAGGCAGAAAUGCACAGGACAGGGAACUGAGGUGGUCCUCAGGGAGACGUGAUUUGCUAAGGUCACAUGGCAAGUCGGUGUGUUUGUUGCUGAGAUGAGGACCCAGAACCUUGCCUCCUGUUCCCAGGCUCUUUGCACCUUCAUGCCGGAGGCCAACCUUUGCACCAGAUCCCUGCACUGUGAGCCAGGGACCUGGUUUGGGGUCCAGGCCCCCACCCAAUGUGACUGUCAUUUGAUUCACUUCAUUCUCUGCACUAGGCCUCAAUCACCUAAGACUCUAAAUAAAUGACUCUAAAUAACCCCUGCUCCAGUUGUGAGUCUGGGGCUCUCUGAAAUGUGGGUGUUUGAGCCAGGCUGUGGGUCACUCUGUGGCCAGCUGUGGGACACUACUGUGGGGUUUUCUCCCUCCCACCAGACUAUGUGGACAACUCUAAGGAUUACUUGGGGGUCUAUUUUGUGCACAUUGGACCCCAUCGGACCCCUUCAAUGGUGAGUCACCCCCUGGUGAACUUGGCAUUGGUCUGUAAGAAGGACCCCAGAUGGGCUGGGUUCAAGGAGGGAAAGUACAGUCACUUUCAUUACUUGCUUCUCCAGGUCUACACAGGCCUAGUCUCCAGGGUCCAAGGUGACUCUGCUCAACCGAGAUUGAGAACUUAGUCCCCUGGGAGGCUUCAGGCCCACUCCAGCCCUAGCACAGGAAGCAAGGCUGCAUCUCCACCUGAAAUUGCAUCUCAGAGUUUGCAGCAUUCAGCUUCCAAAGCCUGAGAAACUGUGGGCCAGGUGGGACCCAGGCCCUGAGAUGCUUGGAGCACCAAAAGUGGGAGGAC